UUCACCGCUGAAGAUAAUGACUGUAGCCGGAGAUGAAGCCCCGGCUAACUUCGUGCCAGCAGCCGCGGUAAUACGAAGGGGCCUAGCGUUGCUCGGAAUUACUCGGCGUAAAGGGAGCGUAGGCGGACAUUUAAGUCAGAGGUGAAAUCCCGGAGCUUAACUUCGGAACUGCCUU
rnacentral:rRNA from 1 species